UCCUAUGGUAGUAGUAUGGACUCCUACUACUCAUUUACAUACAAUUUCGACUAUUCUCAACUCUAACUACUCCUAUUUAUUACAAUGCUAAGUAGUUCAUCUUCAAAACUAACACUAAGGAUAAAAGUUGAGCAUUUGUAACUCAUCCUUCCACCUCUUACAUUUCCUAUUCUUUGCAUGUAUUAAUAUUGCUAUCUCCUUACAACACUGAUCUUCAUCAAAUCUCUUGUCUUCAAAUCUGCUUAAAUUUCGACUUCUCCACAGCAAUGCAACAGUGGUUACAAAUGCUGUGGCAGUGAUGGCUUGUUUCCAGUUUUUGCUUUUGAC
rnacentral:lncRNA from 1 species